UACGAAGGGUGCAAACGUUGCUCGGAAUUAUUGGGCGUAAAGCGCACGUAGGCGGCUUGGCAAGUCGGAUGUGAAAUCCCUCGGCUCAACCAAGGAAGUGCAUCCGAAACUGCCGAGCUUGAGUACUUAAGAGGAUCGCGGAAUUCCCGGUGUAGAGGUGAAAUGCGCAGAUAUCGGGAGGAACACCAAUGGCGAAGGCAGCUCGCUGGGACGUUACUGACGCUGAGACGCGAAAGCGUGGGGAGCAAACAGG
rnacentral:rRNA from 1 species